UGUCAGCAGCCGCGGUAAUACAGAGGGUGCGAGCGUUAAUCGGAAUUACUGGGCGUAAAGGGUGCGUAGGCGGUCUUUUAAGUCGGAUGUGAAAUCCCUGGGCUUAACCUAGGAAUUGCAUACGAUACUGCAAGACUUGAGUACAGUAGAGGAUAGUGGAAUUCCACGUGUAGCGGUGAAAUGCGUAGAUAUGUGGAGGAACACCAGUGGCGAAGGCGGCUAUCUGGACUGAUACUGACGCUGAGGCACGAAAGCGUGGGGAGCAAACAGGAUUAGAUACCCUGGUAGUCCACGCCCUAAACGAUGGGAACUAGCUGUUGGGAGAAAUUAAUCUCUUAGUAGCGAAGCUAACGCGUUAAGUUCCCCGCCUGGGGAGUACGGUCGCAAGAUUAAAACUCAAAGAAAUUGGCGG
rnacentral:rRNA from 1 species